rnacentral:rRNA from 1 species
GACGAACCGUGCGACCGUUGUUCGGAAUCACUGGGCUUAAAGGGCGCGUAGGCGGCUUGCCAAGUCGGGGGUGAAAUCCGGCAGCUUAACUGUCGAAGUGCCUUCGAUAUUGGCGAGCUCGAGGGAGGUAGGGGUCUGUGGAACUUCUGGUGGAGCGGUGAAAUGCGUUGAUAUCAGAAGGAACGCCGGUGGCGAAAGCGACGGACUGGACCUCUUCUGACGCUGAGGCGCGAAAGCUAGGGGAGCAAACGGG